rnacentral:tRNA from 1 species
GUCCUCGUAGCUCAGUGGAUAGAGCGGUCGCCUCCUAAGCGGCAGGUCGCGGGUUCGAUCCUCGCCGAGGACGACA